rnacentral:scRNA from 1 species
CGGUGCUGCGGGUGCUGCCG